GAAAAGUUUGUAAAUAAAAUUUAGAGUGAAUUGGACAAUUGGUCCAAAACACAAUAAGAAUGGCGUAAUUAAAGAUAUGCCAUGAGAACAAAUAUCUGGGCCGAACAGUGAUUUGAGAGGAAGUAAAUUGGCGUAUCUAGCCUUGAGCAAAUAUGGUAGAUAAGUAUUCUUAUAGCCCUCUAGAAUCUUAGGCCGUAUUUCUUAGAUUUGGAAAAUAUUUUGUAUAUAUUUUUUAUAGAUUUUCUCGGUUAGCGAGGAGGUGUAACUAGAGAACGUAUCAGAGAAACUACAAUUCUCACCAUAUAUUUUCUGAGCAAGGCGGUGCAUUAAAUAACGUAUCCAACCUUUAAAUUUCAUGCCUUUACAUACAAAAAAUAUAAGCAGGAGAGAGGCUUCGCCUUCUUUCUCUUUGGCUCUAUAAAAUGAAGUAACCAGAGCGUCAUUCUCAGAUCCGUAAAGAAAGACACUGUGGUUCUUUAAGACACAUUAAGACAGAAGUGAAAAGAAGCUUUUAAGAAGGUAUCUUCGGUAGAAAGGAUGAGCAUUUGUGUUCGUCUUUGGCAAGGAGAGUGGAAGAAAAAUGGGGAGGAUGAAUGGCAUUUCCACCCUGAUGUCGAUGAUUUCGGAUUAAGGGCAUUUCCACCCUGGCAGAUAUAUUAUAUCCAGACAGCGAAGAAUCUUUUUGAUUGCAAACGGUUUGUGGUAAGGGGUAACCCGCACACCAACGGGUUCCUCACCAAAUGCAAACACCAUCUCCGGUAUUGGAAGCGAAGGUUCCACCUCUGUUUGAUUUUCCAUUUGGAUCUGAAGGCUCUCUACACACGCACUGGAAGUAAGAUAUUUUCAGAAAGGGAUUUUAGAAAGAAAUGGAUAUGGAUUCGAAUUCGAAAUGAAGAUUUGCAGAAAAUAUUUUUGAAGAUUCACAUCUUCUAACAAGAGGAUAUGGAUAUCGAUACGGAAAUCUUCUAAAAUCUUCGCCUCCCGAGGCAUAAUCUUUUAGAUCUCACAGCACAUAUUCAUCUCAUAGGAGCAUAAUUGUACUUCUAUUUCGAUGAACAGUUGUUAAUGGUACAUAGUGGUAGUCACCUAAUUACGCGUAAAGUUAUGGGUAGACAGUGCAAUUUCACUAAAAUUUAAGAUGAUACUUAAAAUAUACUCUGUAGUUAUCUUAAAUGAAUGCUGGCAGUUAAACAUAUUUUGAAUUAGUGUUUGGUGGAUAAACCGGGUCCAGUGUGUAUUUGACUAUGACUACAAGAAAAAAGGCUCAAAAACAAUUUGCAUAAAAUAGUAGUAAAGAUUCCGUAUCAAAGGAAGAUUGGGACAUACACUAGAUUGAUAAAAGUAGCGAAGGGAAGAAGAUGUAGGGUCUAUAAGUGACAUAACCCACACCAUGUGGGCAUGUCCUUAUGAACACUAAAUUUAGAGGUUCUUUAUCCUUUCUUUCUUUUUUUUUGGUAAGAAAAAGUGGUUUCACCUUUCUUGUGUGAAUAUGGUUUUUAUUUUCUUUUUCUUUUUUUCCUUUCAAGUUGAUGAGAGGAGCUAAUUAGGAAAAUAAACGAUGAAAUAGACCUCACGAGUUAAGAUAUACCAAAUUAAAUCGAGCAGUCAUUAAUAUUUCAGUGGUUUUUCUAUUUGAAAUAUUUUAUUCAUGAACUGAUUUAUUACUGAAUGAUAUCCACGUAUCUAAAAUUAAAUGAUAACAUGCGUCAUCUGUAGAGUGAAUUUAAAAACAAAUAUUAUACUUAAAUAUUAUAAACAAUAUACAUUUUGUUAUCAAUAACCUUUUUUACAUUUGAUUAAAGGUGGAUAUUCAAAUACUAUUUGAUUCGAUUCGAAUACUUGAGGAUUUGGUUCAGAUUUUUGCGGGUUUGGUUCGGGUUUGGGUUUGGGUUCGGAUAACCUAUUUAAAUCUUUUUCAAAAAAUAAAGUUCAUAUAUACUUUAAAUUUUUCAAAAUCUAAAAAUAAAAAUAAUAUAACAUAUAAAUUUAAAUAAUGUAUGCCAAAAUACUUAAACUUAACAUAAAAAUUGGUUUAGCUUAAAUAUUUGGAUAUGAAAUCAAUAGAUAUUUUAAGUAUUUUAGGUAUUAUAAAUAUCGUUUAGCUAUUUUAAACAUAUACUUAUAAUUAUUUGUACAAUUUUUCAUUAAAUAAUACAUUGAAAAAGUAUAAAAUGUAUUUUUUAAAAAUAAUUUUUUUUCUAUAACGUGGAUCUAGAGGGAGUAUUUGAAACAAUGUGUUUUAUUGGGCCUAGUUUAAAAGUCUGUUAAGGCUACAUUUGAAACCAGUUUAAUCUGCAGGAUCAACUUAACCUUGAGGAGGAAGGUGCACUAUAAACAUAACACGUGGAGCAAUAAGCACUGUCCGUUUAAAAAUGUAUCCGUUGCUCUUUAAAGAUGCAACGACACAAAUAUAAAAGCGUAUAUAUCAGAAGGAGAUGAUUCCUCGGUUCUUUCACUUCUCUUAGGGUUUUCUCCCAAAAAUUUCCUUCUCAAAUUUUCUGGAGAUAACUCCUUUUCAAAGAAGCAGAGAUGUUCACGAGUCUUGAAAGAGUACGUUCAUUCUCUUCGAUUUCUCUUGAUCGUGAAUCUGUUUUGUUGGAUUUUGUUCAUAUCUUAUUUACUUAGGGAUUUGAUGCGAUCGAUUGGGUUUUUACGAUUUUUUUUCCUUAAUCGUUAAUUUAUUUAUUGUUGUAGUGAUCCUGGAAAGCGCUUGACUCCGUAUGGAAUCAUUGUUGAGAAUGUGGAUGUGGAGAAACCAUCAUUGACAGAUUGAAGAUAAGCGUGAAUCUUUGAGUUGAACGGCUAGCAACAUAAACAGAUAAGUUCUUUUACUGCUUUAUGUCUUUUUACUGCCGAUUCUUACUUUUGAUUAAGUUUUAUGAAACUCCAAAAAGUUCAUAGGCAGGCACUAAUCUAAUAGUGUUCUGCCAAAAUCUUAUUUGGAGACAUUGUCCCGAGUCCCUGUUGCGUGAACCUUAGACCCAGAGGAAAUUUAAACCAUGACCCUAGAAACUAAUGGUUGGUAGUGCAUGGAGAUGUUUGGGGAUGGAAAGUAAAACACACUUUAGUACCCACGGCUAUACAAAAACAACCGUCGGCUUAAAAAUAGUCUUUUGACAGAAAAUGACUAUGUCUAAGGCUAUGGGGUGACAAAGUUUAGUACCAACGGCUUAAAAAGAAGUCUUUAGACAGAGACUGUGAUUGAAAACUCCUUCAUAACAUUAGUACACACGGCUUGCAAGAAAGUCUUUUGACAAAGAUUGUGAUUGAAUAUGUUUUCAUCACAUUAAUAGUACCCACGGCUUGCCAAAAAAAGGUCUUUAGACAAAGACCUUUUAGUACCAACGGCUUAAAAAGAAAUCUUUAGACAGAGGCUUAAAAAAAGUCUCUACCCACUGCUUACAAGAAAGUCUUUUGACAGAAAAUGACUAUGUCUAAGGCUAUGAUAUCGUUGGAAGGAUUCAUUAACACAGGCUCUGCAUUGGUUUUGAACUUGUUGAAUGGAAAUAACGAUCACAAGUCAUGAAAACUAAUUGUCCCAGUCCCGUUGCGUGAAAUAACAAUCACAAGUUACUCAAAGUGAUUUGAAAAUCUUGCUACCCACGGCUUUACUAAGGGGUUUUAUUACCAGCGGCUUAAAAAGAAGUCUUUAGACAGAGACUGUGAUUGAAAACGUCUUCAUCACAUUAGUACACACGGGUUGCACAAGAAAGUAUUUUGACAAAGACUGUGAUUGAAUAUGUUUUCAUCACAUUAGUACCCACGGCUUGCCCAAAAAGGUCUUCAGACAAAGACCUUUAACUACCAAUGGCUUUAAAAGUCUUUAGACAGAGGCUUAAAAAAAGUCUUUACCCACGGCUUGCAAGAAUGUCUUUUGACAAAGACUAUGAUGAAAAUGUAUUCAUUGCAUUACACGACUUAGAAAAGACCAACGGCUUUGCAAAAAAAAAUUAGACAAAGGCUAUGAGAUCGUCCCAAUGGCUCUAAACCACUAUUGGUUGGUAGUGCAUGUCUAAGCAAGAAACAUUUGGGGGAUGGUAAAGUGAAAUAUGCUUUAGUACCCACGGCUUUACAAAAACAACCAUCGGCUUACAAAAUGUCUUUAGACAGAAAAUGACUAUGUCUAAAGACUAUAAGAUCAUUGGAAGGAUACAUUAACACAAAGGAUAUGAAUUGUUUUUGAACUUGUUGAAUGGAAAUAACGAUCACAAGUCAUGAAAACUAAUUGUCCCCAGUCCCAUUGUGUGAAGUAACGAUCACAAGUUCCUCAAAGUGAUUGGAAAAUCUUGUUUUACCCACGGCUUUAUUAAGGGGGUUUAGACAACAUUGGUAUGUACCGUUUGAAAGAAGUCUUCAGACAAAGACUCUAAAUCUAAAUCAGAUCCCUUGCUUACCCACAGCUCUAUGUGUAAGGAUGCAAAGUGUGACAAAAUUUAGUACCCACGGCUUAAAAACAAGUCUUUAGACAGAGACUGUGAUUGAAAAAAAAGUAUUCACUAUGUGAGUACCCACGGCUUGCAAGAAAGUCCUGAGACAAGGACUGUGAAUCAUAAAAUUAGUACCUCACGGCUUGCAAAAGGUUUUUAGACAAAGCCUGUGAUUAUUAACGUUUUCAGCGCAUUUGUACCCACGGCAUUGCAAAAAGGUCUUCAGACAGAGACUUUGAUUAAAAUAUCUUCAUCACAUCUGUACCCACGGCUUAUGAAAAGUAUUAAGAGAAAGACUUGCCAAAAAGGGUCUUUAGACAAAGACUGUGAUUGAAAACAUAUUCAUCACAUUUGUACCCACGGCUUUGCAAGGAAGUCUUUAGACAAAUACUGAGUGAACACGUCUGCAUCACACUAGUACACACUGCUUGCAACUGUGAUUGAAAACGUCUUCAUCACAUUAGUACCCACGGCUUGCCAAAAAAGGUCUUUAGGCAGAGACUGUGAUUGAAAACGUCUUCAUCACACUAGUACCCAUGGCUUACAGAAAAGUCUUUAUUGCUUUACUACCAAACAAACCUUCAGACAGAGACUGUGAUUGUAACCCAUGGCUUAUAAAAGGUUGGAUUCAUUAAGUACUCGCGGCUUAUAAAAAGUGUAGGCAAAGAAUCUAAAUCUAAACCAGAUCC